UUUUUUUUUUUUUGUCUUUUUUGGCCACCCGGCGGCAUAUGCGGUUCCUGGGCCAGGGAUCAGAUCCAAGCCAUAGUUGUGACCUGAGCUGCAGCUGUGGCAAUGCCAGAUCUUUAACCCACUAUGCCAGGCUGGGGAUGGAACCUUUGUCCCAGCACUCCCAAGACGCCUCUGAUCCCAUUGUGCCACAGUGGGGGAAGAAAGAUUUUUAAAGUUUUGAUAUAUUGAUAUUCGAUAACAUAGAUAUAGAUAAAUACAUAGCUAUUCAAUAAGAAACAUGCCUGACCUAUUCAAAGAUAACUUUAAAACUACUGAUAAAGAAAUAGUGUUAGGUUUUUUGGCAUAAUAAUGGUAUUAUGGCUAUAUUUUGAAAUAGCAUCUUCAUCUUUUAGAAAUACAUACUGAAACACUUACAGAUGGAAUAAUGAUGUCAAGGAUUUGUUUGAAAAUAACGGGGGAGGAACAGGGGUGGAGGGGAGGCAUGGCCUUGGGUUGAGUGUGAUAAAGGCUGGUGAUAGGUACAGGAAGGUUCAUUUUACUCUUUUCACUGUUUCUAUGCAUAUUCUAGAUUCUGCAUAUUAAAAAGUUAAAAAAUCUAUUGAGGGACUGGAAGGAAUGUUUUUAGUUUAGAGAAAAACCUACCUGACUUGUAUUCAUUUACUUAUUUUUUGGCCAUGCCUGCAGCAUGUGGAAGUUCCCGGGCCAGAGACUGAACCCUCGCCACAGCAAUGACCCGAGCCACUGCAGUGACAACACCAGAUCCUUAACCAGCUGCACCACAAGAGAACUCCUGAAGCCUACCUUACUUUUAGAUGAAAAGCUUCCAUAAUUUUUUUUCUCUGAAUUAAUCUAUAAAUUCAAUGUGAACCCAAUUAAAAUAUCAACAAGGAGUGCUUUUAGAAAAUAAAUAUAUAAUAGCUAGGAAAAUGAUGAGAGAUAAGGGGGUGGGGGGGCUGGGGGAGAGAAAGCCUGGUCUUACAAGUAUUCAAACUUACUAUGAAGCUGCAAUAAGAAAAGCAGUUUAGCAAUGGAGAGCAAAGAGGGCAAUGGUGCAAAAUAAAAUUCCACAAAUAGGCUCAGGAGCGUACUAUGUACUGUCCAAGAUGCUGAAUGAUAACAGAACAGACAAAAACUCUCAACUGUAAACAAGUGAAUAAGAAACUUCAUAGAGUGAUAAGUGUUUCAGAGAAAAUAAAGCAAGACAAUGAGAUAAAGACAGAUGAGGUGGCAUCUGAAUUGAGACCUAAGGAACUAACCAUUACAAAGACGAUCUAGAAAAGCCCAUCCCAGGCACAGAGAAAAACAAAAGCCAAAACGCUAAGAUAGAAAUGAUUUUCAAGUGUUCAAGAGACAGAGAGAAGAUCACAGAUGACAGAAAAAGAGGCCAAAAAGAUAAGCAGGGGCCAGAUUCUAUAAGUCUUGCAGAGGCUGAUAAGGAGGUUGGAUUUUAGUCUAAUUGAGAUGGAAAGCCAUUAGAGAGUUUUAGUCUGCAGAUACAAUCUGAUUAGUAUUUUUAAAAAUUACUCUGGCUACUAUGGAGAGAGAGAAUUCUCUAACGACAAGAAUGGAAAAGCAAUUUCAGUUUUUCCCAGCAAUGAUCUACCCACCCGCCAAUGAUCUUUCUCAGCAAGGAUCUACCACUCCUCCCUAGGUACCAGGUAAGAGAGGAAGAAAUGUUAAGUGGUCUGAUUCGGGACACAAUAUUUACCUAGUGCUCGUCAGCUGGUGACUUAGAAGUGAAGGAGGAGAAAAAGAAAAGCAAUCAAGGAUUAUACCGAGUGUGCUAGGCUGAGUCACUGGGUAGAUGCCAUUACUGAGGAAGAGAAGAAGAGCCUUGGCAGCGAUGAUAGUAAAUCCAGGACUUAAUUAUCACCUCUAUCACUUGAGCUACCUAUCAGACAUCCCAGAAGAGUUGGCAGUAGGCAAGUGGCUGUUUCAUGAGGAAGGAGCUCAACCAUGGAGAUGUAUAAUUGAGUAUCAUCAGCAUAAAGACAGAAUGAAUGCAGCAUUUCAAGUCUGUAGGGAAAACAGAGUGUUUGAUGACCAGUGUUGACUUUGCAUUGGGGGAAAAAAACAAACAAACAAACAAAAAAAACGUAUGAAAUCCAAAGUCAAGCUUAGAGCAAAAUAAUUUCCAAAUGGGUCAAAAUUUUUAAAAAUGGAUCAGUGAGUAUACAAGGAAAAUGGCCCCUCUGUACUGUAGUUGGGAAGGUAAAUCUGUGCAACCUUACUUAGCAGCAAUAUGAUACUGUUUAGCAAAUUUAAAAUGCAUGUUUUCUUUGUUCCAGUAAUCCUCCUAUCUGUAUUAAUUCAUCCAACAGAUAGACAUGGAAGACAUUCUAUGUACAAGGAUGCCCGCUGCAGACUCACUGCAGUAAAAAGUUCAAAACAAGCAGUGUGUCUCAACAAAGGACUGGUUAAAUAAACGAUCAUAUGUCCAUACAAUGGACUACUCUCCAGAUGAGACAAAGGGAAACUGUGUGCUGAUCUUGAACUAUCUCUAAGACACAUUCAGCAAAGUACAGAAUCUCUGUUUUAUUAUCCUUCCGUGUAUAUGUGGAUUAUUUAUGUGUAAAUGCAUAUUUAUGUAUAAAGGCUUUCAGUUUCAUUUUUUUUAUCAUUCUGCACAGUUUGAAUUUUGUAAGCCUGUACAUAUUUUCCAUUAAAAAAAUGCCUAAAGGGAUUAUCUGAACAGCAAUAUUGGUCACUUUUUUGUUUUCUUUAUACUUCUGUGUUGAUUUUUUAAAAAAGCAACUUGUGUUAUUAGGAAGAAGAAAAAAAAAACUUCAAAGAAUACGGUCCCACAUUCUACACGCUAAGAUGGUAAACAAGUCAUCUUAAAUCUCCGUGAAAAUCUUAUGACCUUCUUUUCCAAUUCUUUUUUUUUUUUUUUUAAGCAUUCUCAUCUAACAAAUUUUGUACCUUCAGGCUCUGUUGGAAGCAGCCUGUACCCAAAGCCAAGCUGUAAAAGUUGCAGGGGAGCUACAGAGCUGCCAAAGAGGGUGUUUAAUGAGCAAAACUUGAGGGUUGAUGCAAAUUGCUGGCAAACACCAGAUGGCAGGGGUCAGGCAGGAGAUCCCCUCAAAGAGAUAAAGUCAGAGCACCGGUCAGGUCCCCAGAAAGAUAAAGGACUCCCAUCUGAUUUGGAGGGCGGGAGUGUCACAGGAGUCCAGUAUCUGGCUGCACACUCAUGCAAAAUCAGGAGGAAGGGCUCAUGGUUAGAAGAUGGGAAUGGAGUGGGGGCAGGGGGAGGGAGGAGGAUGCAAAGGACUCUGGGCAGCGUGUGGUGGAAAUGGAGUGUGUCCACCUGUGUGAAAUUCACCUGUGGUGCUUUUGAGACUUAGCUGCUCUGAAAGCCCAAAAUAUUUGAGCCGUGGACACAUGUGCACACGCACACAUACACACACACACACACACACACACACACACACGGGCGGGGGGUGCUAAAACUGAGCCUGCACUAGUUCUGUUGAACCAUGGAGGAGGGAAAAAAAAAAGCAGAUUUCAAUGAAAUCGUCAUUAAGAAUUUUAAAGGGGAAAAGGCUCCCUAUUAGCCCUAGAAUUUUUACAUUUCUUUAAGCUUUAACAUUAUAUACCUUAUUUAAACACAAAGUUAAUAGCGCUAGGCUUAUUCGUUGUAACAGUCUUGUUUCCAAUAGGAGGCAAGGGUGUACCGUUCUACCUCUCCCAAUCAAGCACCUUCAUAGGCAGCCAGGCUCCAGGAAACCCAAGGCUGUCUAUCACUAUGACACUGAGACCUCCCAGGGCCAGCCUGUCCUGACUGCAAAUAAGGUACCUUGGUAGAAAUAAACUUAUGUGCAUUGGCUUAAGUAUUCAAACUUAAAAGUGACCACAAACAUCAGAGCAUCCUGUGAAGUACUGACUCCUCUCAUUGCCAAGUCUAAUCUACCCGUCUCUGGCUAAGCUGGGGUAGCUCUCCCCCUCCUCCUAGUCCAACAGGAAAUGGGGAACAGCUAUCACCUCUACCCCUCACUCUCACCCCCUCUGGUUUAACCAGUCCCAGUUCCUUUCAACUUUCCUCUUGGGUCUAAUUUUCCAAUCGUGUAAUUAUCUCUGUGGGUCAUAGGGAGAAGAAGGCAUGUGGUGUUCCAAAAAAAUUAUACCCUUCUUUUGGUCCAAUACUCUGCAUUUUCUACCCCCGCUAAAGGAAUCUAAGCUAUGCCACUACAAUAUAUCUAGUUGGAGUAAUCACCUUUCCAGCAUUCUUUUGUUUAAAUGAACUAUUGCCUUCUUGGGAGAAGCUGAAGCUCAGGGGAGCUGGGUUUUUUAUUGGAGUUUCUAUAUUCACCAAAAGCAUCACACAUAACAGAGAAGGGCUGCAGGGUGAGGUUACUGGAAGAGAAGGUUUCCCAGAAAACAAAUCACUCAAGCUUGUCUACACUGUCCAUGGCCAGAAAACACAGAUUCAAGGUUUAAUGAAAUCAAAAUCAUCAGGAGAGGAGAACUGAAGAAAAUGUACAGCCCUUGGUUCAAACGGUUGCUACAAUCAGCUAGUAAAUAUCUUAAAAGAAUGUUGAAUCAAACAUUUUUCAAGAUAAACGUUUUAAGGACUAACUUUAGGAAGAUGGGAAUAACAUAUGCACACCACUGUAUAAAUAGAUAAUUAACAAGAACCUACUGUAUAGCACAGAGAAAUCUACUCAGUAUUCUUUAAUAACCUAUAUGGGCAAAAAGAAUGGAUAUAGAUACAUGCAAAACUGAUUCACGUGGCUGUACACC
rnacentral:lncRNA from 1 species